rnacentral:rRNA from 1 species
AACGUAGGAGACAAACGUUAUCCGGAGUUACUGGGCGUAAAGGGCGUGUAGGUGGUUUUAUAAGUCUGGCGUGAAAUUUCUCGGCUUAACCGAGGCAGGUCGUCGGAUACUAUGAGACUAGAGGACGGUAGAGGCGUGUGGAAUUCCGGGUGUAGUGGUGAAAUGCGUAGAGAUCCGGAGGAACACCAGUGGCGAAGGCG